ACUCGAGUGGCGAACGGGUGAGUAACACGUGGGUGAUCUGCCCUGCACUUCGGGAUAAGCUUGGGAAACUGGGUCUAAUACCGGAUAGGAGCCAUCUUUAGUGUGGUGGUUGGAAAGUUUUUUCGGUGUAGGAUGAGCUCGCGGCCUAUCAGCUUGUUGGUGGGGUAAUGGCCUACCAAGGCGGCGACGGGUAGCCGGCCUGAGAGGGUGAUCGGCCACAUUGGGACUGAGAUACGGCCCAG
rnacentral:rRNA from 1 species